AAGUCUUACUAUAUUAGAUUGGUAAGAAAGUAAUUGCGGUUUUUGCCAUUAAACGAGUGGGAAAGCUGCAAUUACUUUUGCACCAACCUAUUAUAAAUUUUCC
rnacentral:miRNA from 10 species